rnacentral:rRNA from 1 species
GUCGAAACACACACGCAGAGAGGCACAGCGGGUUGGGGGCGGCGAUGAGCUGUUUCUAGGAGGGCAACCACCACCACCACCACCGAUUCGUCCCGUCGCAGAAUAAAAAAAAACACACCACACCACAUCGCACUGGUACUACAACACCAGGCGGAAGCCCCCCAGCCCUUCCCCAAUUCAUUCCGUUCGUUCCCCAUUCCCCUCCCGCAAUCCAUCCCCCGCCCGCCGCCGCGCCGCGACCGCCUCUGCCUCGGCGCGGGCCUCGGGAUCCGGGGGAUCUGGUGCGGGUCUGAGGGAUGGAGGCCAGCGCGGGGCUGGUCGCCGGCUCGCACAACCGCAACGAGCUCGUCGUCAUCCGCCGCGACGGGGAGCCAGGGGCGAGGCCGCUGAAGCAGCAGAACCGCGGGGCGUGCCAGAUUUGCGGGGACGACCUCGGCCUCGGCCCCGGCGGCGACCCCUUCGUCGCCUGCAACGAGUGCGCCUUCCCCGUCUGCCGCGACUGCUACGAGUACGAGCGCCGCGAGGGCACGCAGAACUGCCCGCAGUGCAAGACCCGCUACAAGCGCCUCAAGGGGUGCGCGCGUGUCCCCGGGGAUGAGGAGGAGGACGGCGCCGACGACCUGGAGGACGAGUUCAACUGGAGGGACAGGGACGACUCGCAGUACGCCGCCGAGUCCAUGCUCCACGCCCACAUGACCUACGGCCGCGGCGGCGACCUCGACGGCGUGCACCAGCCCUUCCAGCCCAACCCCAAUGUUCCCCUCCUCACCAAUGGCCAGAUGGUCGACGACAUCCCACCGGAGCAGCACGCCCUUGUUCCUUCCUUCGUCGGCGGAGGGGGAAAGAGGAUCCACCCGCUCCCUUAUGCUGAUUCCAACCUUCCUGUGCAACCAAGAUCCAUGGACCCAUCCAAGGAUAUUGGUUCCUACGGGUACGGUAGCGUCGCCUGGAAGGAGAGGAUGGAGAGCUGGAAGCAGAAGCAGGAGAGGCUGCAUCAGGCCAGAAAUGAUGGCGGUAAAGACUGGAACGGGGAUGGCGACGAUGCAGAUCUGCCACUAAUGGAUGAAGCUAGGCAGCCACUGUCCAGAAAGGUUCCCAUUCCUUCAAGCCUGAUUAAUCCCUACAGGAUGAUCAUUGUGAUCCGUUUGGUGAUUGUGUGUCUCUUCUUCCACUAUCGUGUUAUGCAUCCGGUGCAUGAUGCAUUUGUUUUGUGGCUCAUAUCUGUCAUAUGUGAGAUAUGGUUUGCCAUGUCUUGGAUUCUUGAUCAAUUCCCCAAGUGGUUUCCUAUUGAGAGGGAGACUUACCUUGACCGCUUGACAUUGAGGUUCGACAAGGAAGGCCAGCCAUCUCAACUCGCCCCAGUUGAUUUCUUUGUCAGUACGGUCGAUCCCGCAAAGGAGCCUCCGCUGGUCACAGCAAACACUAUCCUAUCUAUCCUGGCGGUAGAUUAUCCGGUUGACAAGCUCUCUUGCUAUGUUUCUGAUGAUGGUGCUGCCAUGCUGACAUUCGAAGGAUUGUCUGAAACAUCUGAAUUUGCAAAGAAAUGGGUUCCUUUCUGUAAGAAGUAUAGCAUUGAGCCUCGUGCUCCAGAGUGGUACUUCCAACAGAAGAUAGACUACCUGAAAGACAAGGUGGUACCAAACUUUGUUAGGGACAGGAGAGCAAUGAAGAGAGAGUAUGAGGAAUUCAAGAUCAGAAUCAAUGCCUUGGUUGCUAAAGCCCAGAAAGUUCCUGAGGAAGGAUGGACCAUGCAGGAUGGAACUCCCUGGCCUGGAAACAAUGUCCGUGAUCACCCUGGAAUGAUUCAGGUCUUCCUUGGUCAAAGUGGUGGCCUUGAUGUGGAAGGAAAUGAGCUGCCUCGAUUGGUUUAUGUUUCAAGAGAAAAACGGCCAGGCUAUAACCAUCACAAGAAGGCUGGUGCUAUGAAUGCAUUGGUCCGUGUCUCUGCUGUGCUAACGAACGCUCCAUAUAUGCUGAACUUGGAUUGUGAUCACUAUGUGAACAACAGCAAGGCAGUCAAGGAAGCAAUGUGUUUUAUGAUGGAUCCUUUGGUAGGAAAGAAAGUUUGCUACGUGCAGUUCCCACAAAGAUUCGACUCCAUUGAUCGUCACGAUCGAUAUGCUAACAAGAAUGUCGUCUUCUUUGAUAUCAACAUGAAAGGUUUGGAUGGUAUUCAAGGCCCCAUCUAUGUUGGCACGGGAUGUGUCUUUAGAAGGCAGGCGCUGUAUGGUUAUGAUGCUCCCAAAACAAAGAAGCCACCGUCAAGGACUUGCAACUGCUGGCCAAAGUGGUGUGUGUGCUGUUUCUGCUUUGGUAACAGGAAGAACAAGAAGAAGGUUACCAAGCCUAAGACAGAGAAGAAGAAGAGGUUGUUUUUCAAGAAGGAAGAGAAUCAAUCACCUGCGUACGCACUUAGUGAAAUUGACGAAGCUGCCGCAGGAGCUGAAACUCAGAAGGCUGGUAUUGUAAAUCAGCAGAAGUUAGAGAAGAAAUUUGGCCAGUCUGCUGUUUUUGUUGCAUCAACUCUUCUUGAGAAUGGUGGUACCCUGAGGUGUGAUAGUCCAGCUUCUCUUCUGAAGGAAGCUAUACAUGUCAUCGGUUGUGGCUAUGAAGACAAGACAGACUGGGGAAAAGAGAUUGGCUGGAUCUAUGGGUCAGUUACAGAGGAUAUCCUAACUGGGUUUAAGAUGCAUUGCCAUGGCUGGCGGUCGAUUUACUGCAUACCUAAAAGACCUGCAUUCAAAGGUUCCGCGCCUCUCAAUCUUUCGGAUCGUCUUAACCAGGUUCUUCGGUGGGCUCUUGGAUCUAUUGAGAUCUUCUUCAGCAACCAUUGCCCGCUUUGGUAUGGGUAUGGUGGCGGACUGAAAUUUUUGGAAAGAUUUUCCUACAUCAACUCCAUCGUCUAUCCUUGGACGUCCAUUCCACUUCUGGCCUACUGCACGUUGCCGGCCAUCUGCUUGUUAACGGGAAAGUUCAUCACUCCAGAGCUUAGCAAUCUUGCCAGUAUCUGGUACAUGUCUCUUUUCAUCUGCAUUUUUGCUACUGGUAUUCUGGAAAUGAGAUGGGCUCGUGUAGCGGUUGACGAUUGGUGGAGGAAUGAGCAGUUCUGGGUCAUUGGAGGUGUAUCUGCCCAUCUGUUUGCCGUGUUCCAAGGACUUCUCAAGGUGAUAGCUGGUGUGGACACGAGCUUCACCGUCACAACAAAGGCUGGAGACGAUGAGGAGUUCUCGGAGCUGUACACCUUCAAAUGGACAACCCUGUUGAUACCCCCGACCACCCUGCUCCUGCUGAACUUCAUCGGGGUGGUUGCCGGCAUCUCCAACGCUAUCAACAACGGAUAUGAGUCAUGGGGGCCUCUCUUCGGGAAGCUCUUCUUUGCGUUCUGGGUGAUUGUCCAUCUUUACCCGUUCCUCAAGGGUCUUCUUGGAAGGCAGAACAGGACCCCGACGAUCGUCAUCGUCUGGUCCAUCCUGUUGGCUUCUAUCAUCUCGCUCCUGUGGGUGCGUGUGAACCCUUUCCUUGCCAAGACCGACGGCCCUCUUCUGGAGGAGUGCGGUCUGGACUGCACCUAGGAGAUGAAAGGAUGGACGAUCAAAAUGAGUCAUCAUGUGGAGUAAUUUUGAAGACGGGAGGCUGCGGCAACCCUUCUUCACCUCACCUCUGUGCAGUUCGGCCACGAAGAAGCAAGGAUACAGUCAGCCAAGUCAGUGUUGUUUCAUUGUCCAGCCAUCCAGCAAUUCUUUAUUUGUUGACCUUGAUUUAAAUGGAGAGGGAUAAAAUGUAUCAAGAAAAAUUGAAAGCCUGACUGCCAGUGCAAGGCCAGGAUUCUUAACUCCGAAGGGAGGAACGGUGCUGUAGCUUUGGCUUUGCGCCCUGCGAUUCUGCGACCGACCAAGAGCCAGCUAUGAAUUGCGUCCACAUGGUUGGCGCUGGAUUUGCUCGCCCGUGGUCCAUGGUUACACCUUACACGCAGCAGUGCGGGUGCAGUGUAGGCGCAGUACAGCUGGGUGGAAUCGCACGGAGCGCAGGCACAUGGUACUUGACAAAAGAUAUGACUGCACAUGCACGUGCCAUGCCAUGUUCGCCGCUGCCUGCCGGCCCCGGCCCCAGCGCACCGCUCGCUAAUGCUAAAUGGCCUGCCGCUUGAUCCACAGAGGCGUCUAUCUAUAUAUAGAAUUAGAUCCUAAUAACACCACUAGUUUGUCUGCUGCUGCCGGAGGGUGAACACACGGGCAUGCACAGUCCAAUUCUGGCUCCUGCCGCACCCGCACCGCGAUCCUUUUCGCGCCUCCCUCCUUGCUGUCGGUGGCUCAUCCUGACCCUGAUCUGAUCUGAAUAUCUGAUCAGGGCUUGCAUGAUGGUUAGGUUAGGUUAGGUUGGGAUAGAUUAAGCUUUAGAGGUUAGGUGGCACGUACCUUCCGCAUCCAGCUUCUUCUCCAUUAUUUUUCCCCUUUGACGUACAAUGAUUUGAUUGACAC